GUGAGAUAGGAGUCAUCCCAUAAAGGCUUUUCAAGAUUUCUUCCCAGACUUUAAGAAGAUGGUGUGGAAACCAUUUGGCUCCUGAAUUGAGCAAAUUUUCUCUGAAUCUAGAAGAGGAUGAAUUCAUCUGCUGUUACUGUAGCUUUACUGUCAUCUUAAGGAAUUCUGCAAAACCAGCAGGGCUGCUGUCAGGAUGCUGUAUACUUUGGGGUAUUUUCACUUUCCUAGGAUACUGUUCCCAGAUGAGACUUCACUGUAUUGCCUCUGAUCUGUGCCAGAAUUACAGAUGUUUCAACGGAAAUGUGCAGAAACCACACAACUGAAAUAGAAUAAAUUAUGCUUAAAAUCAAGGAAAUGUCCUAAUAAGUGAGAAAUGCACCAAUUUCUCCUUGAGCUUUUUCACUGCCACUACCACCUGUGUUUAUUAUUUAUUCAUUUAUUUAUUUUGCUUUACAGUAUGGUACAGCAGCUGGUUCUUCCACAUGAAGAAAUCUGU